rnacentral:rRNA from 1 species
GGAAUAUUGGGCAAUGGAGGAAACUCUGACCCAGCAACGCCGCGUGAAGGAUGAAGGUUUUCGGAUUGUAAACUUCUGUUAUGAGAGAAAAAUAAAUGAUGGUAUCUCAUGAGUAAGCUCCGGCUAACUAUGUGCAAGCAGCCGCGGUAAUACAUAGGGAGCAAGCGUUGUCCGGAAUUACUGGGCGUAAAGGGAACGUAGGCGGUUCUGCAAGUCAGAGGUGAAAUCCCGGGGCUCAACUCCGGAAUUGCCUUUGAAACUGCAGGACUAGAGUGUGGGAGAUGAAGAUGGAAUUCCAAGUGUAGCGGUGUAAUGCGUAGAUAUUUAGAAGAACAUCAGAGGCGAAGGCGAUCUUCUGGAACAUAACUGACGCUUAGGUUCGAAAGCGUGGGGAACAAACA